rnacentral:piRNA from 1 species
UUGACCNCAAUUCUGUGUGUCAUGGCAGUC